GACUCUGUCGUACAAUGGUAGUGCGCCACGCAAGAGUAAGUAUUUCGUUGAGCUUUGCUCUCGUGAAGAUCUCAGUUCGAUUCUGAGCGGGGUUA